rnacentral:rRNA from 1 species
CCCUUAGAUGUUCUGGGCUGCACGCGUGCUACAAUGGCGUUUCCAGCAAGUCUGCGAACCCGAGAGGGCCAGCGGAUCUUCGAAUUGGCGUCGUGAUCGGGACAGUCGAUUGCAAUUAUUUGACUCAAACGAGGAAUUCCUUGUAAUCGCGAUUCAUCAUAUCGCGCUGAAUACGUCCCUGCCCUUUGUACUCACCGCCCGUCGCUCCUACUGAUUGAGCGAUCCGGUAAAUGUUUUGGAUUGGUGCCGGGGCGGCUAGCUGCCGGUCGCUACGAAAUUUUGUGAACCUUAUCGCUUAGAGGAAGGAAAAGUCGUAACA